rnacentral:rRNA from 1 species
UACGUAGGGUGCAAGCGUUGUCCGGAAUUAUUGGGCGUAAAGAGCUUGUAGGCGGUUUGUCGCGUCUGCUGUGAAAUUUCGGGGCUCAACCCCGAACUUGCAGUGGGUACGGGCAGACUAGAGUGUGGUAGGGGAGACUGGAAUUCCUGGUGUAGCGGUGAAAUGCGCAGAUAUCAGGAGGAACACCGAUGGCGAAGGCAGGUCUCUGGGCCAUAACUGACGCUGAGAAGCGAAAGCAUGGGGAGCGAACGG